GCCAUUUUAGUGCGUCGCACUUGGAGAAGGCGACAGGGCUCGCGGUGGUGCUUCGGCGUAGUCUUUGCUUCGUUCAAUGUCAAACCUUUUCUUUCCGGUGUUAACCCAGUUUUCUCGUCCUUUUCCCACCAUCUUUGAGACCAGCUGUCGUCGCACGCCUGCAGUGUACACUUUAAGAUACUUCCUUAAGGUAUACAGGUUUAAGGCAGCUACUUACCAAGAAUAAGGAGGUGGCCAUGAUCACCAGAAAAAGAGGAAGAACCAGCCUCGAUGCUAAUGUCACAUGUACAAGUGCCUCCCAGGAGAGUAACGUUGCUUUGAAAACCUGUAAUGCAAGUGAUACAAGCAUGCACACUUCUCCAGAAAGUGACACAAAUGAUUGGGGCCUGGAUGAGGUGUUUGGCUCUGAAUUCAAUUGGGAACUGAACAACAACGUGCUUGAUUCUUUCAGCACCUUUGAAAUGCAGACAUCGACCAACGAUGACACACAUCAGAGCCUGGUGACAGAUGUUUCUUCAUCCUGCAAUGUCCCGAGAUCAAAACUGCAAGAUGUUUCCGGUCGAAUCGUCAAUAAGAACGCCAUGGCAGCAAGGAUGAACCGUUUGAAGAAGAAAGAGUACGUCAGUGGCUUGGAGCAGAGAGUCGGCUCUUUGACGUCAGAGAACCGGAUUCUCAAGCAGGAAAAUGGAAACCUCAAUAAGAGAGUGGAAGAACUGGAGAAUGAAACUAGGUACUUGAGAGCCGUGUUGGCUAAUGAGAGCAUGCUGGCACAGCUGUUGUCUAAAUUGAGCGGUGUGAAUGGCAUGAAAUUUUCUACCUCGCUUUUCCAGGCGUCCAACGAGAAUGACCAUGAUUAUGCCAUGCCGAGGAAGAGGGUGAAGUUGGAAGACAAAGAUGCAGCGGGUGGCAUCUGCCUGCAUGUGGACAAAGACCAUGUCUCUGUGGAAUUCUGCACCAAGUGUGCGGAGAGUUCAAGCUUGUCGCAUAAAAUUUUUCUUCUAGGUGCUUGGUCUGCCAUGCUGGAUGAGUGCGUCACAGAACGUCCUCGAUUGCCGAAAUCCAUGUGGAUUUUGCUGUGGGGUGAAGCAGAAGAGUCGGGACCAGCAGCUUGCAUCAUGGCCCUGGUAAAUGUAAAAAGGUAGUACAUGAGUACAGCACUUUCUUCGCUCUCUACAAGAGCCUUAUCUUUCCUCUUCAAAGUGGAUAAAGAGUGGUGAGCUGGGCGAUAGGACAAUGUAAUCGAAUGUCGAUGAUGUCUUACAAAGAUGCCUAUUGCGAAAAUAUGAUGAUCGACAGUAUCGGGAAAUGGCAAAACCAUGGAUCUGGGAAGUUGCCAAAUAUGUUAAACAGUGGCCAGGGUGUGAAACUAGCACCCGCCAAAUGCAGCGAUGCUGAAUCCAGUUCGAAAGCUCCUCAUUCAAAUGUAUUUCAUGCGCCGAUAAUUUUGCUCAUCUACCCGCAACAGGCAGGCGACCUGUAAGACGUCUCUUGAGUGACACAUGACAAGAAAUGAUGUUAUUCACAAAGACGCACGCUUGAAGAAACACUUUAUUAUAUUUUUUAAAAACCAACUAAAGAAAAGCCGUCACUGUGUCUGAUUCGCUGUUUGUUCAGAGGUGUGCAGCACGAGUCAGUCUCGUUGAACAAGUGCAUGUAAAGAGUUCACUUUUUUUUUCUCUCUCUUUCAUAUGUCUGAAAACGACAAGAAUAAUGUCGUCUGAGAAUGCUGCAAAUUAUCUCCGAUCUUCUCAGGAGGUGCUGUUAGUUUAGUUCGCGUUAUUUCAACUCGGUUUGCAUGCAUUGUGAAUGCAACACUACAGGUUCAGAAAUAUGUUUUUGUAUUAAACAAAGAUGAAAGUUAUUAAAUCAGAGUAAUGCAAGACAUGUUCACCUUGAACCUAAAAUUGAGUUUUGUUUUAUUUUAGGCAUUAAUAACUGUAUUACCAAAAUGCAAUAAACACUAAUUCGAUAAGAAUACACAUUUGGCAGCAUUAUUUUGGGAACACAAGGGAAUUGAUUAGGCUUAUUUUGAUAAUUUUUUCUACAUUUAUAAUUGUCUUUAGUUCUUAGGCUGUAGGCUAUUAGUAGUUUUCCAUCUGUGUUGAUGGAUGCUGCGUGAUGGCAAAUGUUUGGAUUUGGGGAGGUGGUUAAAUGAGUUUUUUGAUCACUUUUAUUGCUGCUUUUUUUUCCGUUUAGUUUAAAGUGCAAUUUGAAUGUAGAUAUGUCUUGUUUGUUUUUCAUGUUUCAAUAAAUGAAUUAAAAUUUUAAAGCAAAAUGGGGUUGAUGUAAUUGGAUAUUGCAGUAUUUUUAAGGCAAUUAUCGCAAAAGUAUUUUUUACAUAUCGCCCAACCCUAACGCGCGCACAUAAAAUAGUUGGUUAAUUGGCAUUCCUUAAAUUUAAUUUUUUUAAAUAAUAUUUGUAAUGUCCAUUCUGUUUACACUACUUGGAAUCACUGUUACAUUUGUAUGUUUUUAAAGAAAAUUGUAAUGUCAUUCUCCAACGAUGCUUUAAAUAGAUAAUUACAAAGUAUUAAUUAAAAGCUGGUCAAACUUUGUUCAUCCAAGAAUCCUCCAUGUGCACCAAUGACACCUCAGGUUUACCAUCCUUUUUUUUUUUUUUUGUCAGUUACUUUUUCUUUGCAAUGUUGGCCUUUUAGAGUUUCAAAUUCUUCUCUUAAAUCUAGUAGAUACUGAUGUUUGACAUGUACUGGUCAUUGAAGCUGCUAGUUUAGGGUCUGUUUCUUAGAUUAGAGACUCUGAUGGGCUUGCCCUUUUGAUGUAACGCUUCUGAGCUCUCAAAUUCCACAAACCUGGUCAUACCCAGUUUUCAUUUUUAUUUAACUGAAUAGCCUUGAACUCUCAAAAGAACAAUGGACUGCAUUUUUUUGAGAAAUUGUGGCUUUUUGGCUAAUUGCAUAAAGUGUACACAAUACCUCAACAACUUAAAAAUGACACUAUUGGGAUUUCCACACUUCAUUAAGCAACAACCAUUUUGAGCAAAAACACAUUUCUUUCCUGAGGAUCAAAUUAGCGCAUUAAAAUAAUUUAAGGAUUAGGUGAGAGUAUUUUCUUAGCAGACAGGAGUAAUAACUGCUGAAAUUUGGGGCUUUGCUAUCAUGGGUAACAAUUUAAUUGUUUCAACAUUGUUAAUGUUGCAGUAUUUUGAUCAUUUUAAUAGAUCCUUGAUGAACCAAAGCAUCAAUUUCUCUCGAUAACAAAAAUGUCUUGGUCAUACCAAACUGC